GGCAAAUGACCUGGGUCAGUGCUCGUUUGGGAUUUUGUGUUAACCGUAAAACUAGACAUGGCACGCAUUCUAGUUUUCUUCCCAGAUGUCUACCGGGUCUGGGCUGAGGUUAUCACCCGUUAUUUCUGGCAGCGCGCUCAGCAAUCUGAGUGCCCGGGUACGCUGCCAUUGGAAAUUGAACAAGAUGGUUUCUAGGUUUGUCUUGGGGGUUUGGAUUCCAGUUCGCCAUAGAGUUAUGAGUGGGAUGUGGCCAAGCUAUAUCGAGUGGAUGCACUUGAUGGAGGUCGGGCUCAACCUCUUUUUAUCUCACUCUGCAUGAAGCGGUGGAACAGGACAUGGAUGGUUUUGGUGGGGUCCCCCGCUUAUUUUAGGCAUAAAACAGUGAGUUUGUGGCUUGGGAUAUGUCCUUGCCAAUUAAAUUUGAGGUGGUUAUGUUAAUAAUGUGGAAUGAAGUGAACAAGUUUUUAGGUUUCAACCUUCCCUGCUGGUUACCUGUUAUGUCGUGCCCACCGACAGUGGCAUCACUAGGGGGGGGCCAGAGGGGGCCAUGGCCCCCCUACAUCAUGCUGUGCCCCCCCCCAAAUGCCGGCAACUUGCUGGCCAUGUGCUUAAAUGAUAUUCCAUCGGGCUGUAACAGUCUGUGACAGCCCGAGGGAAUACAGGACAGAACAGCUGGAACGGUGCUGGGUGUUGUCUGUGGCCGGAGGGAGCACUGACAGGCUCCCCAGCACAGGCCCAAAACGAAGCCCCGCCUCCUUGCUGCUGCUGGAAAGGAUGGAAGAUGGCUGUCUGACCGCCCAGCAACAGCCUACAGUAACAGGUAGGCUUGAUAUGCUUGUGUGUGUGUGUGUGUGUGUCUGUCUGCUAGUGAAGAAGCUUGUCACAGACUCAGCAGUCUGUGUGUGUGUGUGUGUGUCUCUGCUAGUGAGGAAGCUUGUGUGUGUGUGUAUGGACUCAGCAGUCUGUGUGUGUGUAUGGACUCAGCAGUCUGUGUGUGUGUG